rnacentral:rRNA from 1 species
GUUACCCCUACACUGGAGUGCCACUUAAGGGAAAGACUAAAAGAAGGAGAAGGAACUCGGCAAACAUAAGCCUCGCCUGUUUACCAAAAACAUCGCCUCCUGCAACUUUAGUAUAGGAGGCCCAGCCUGCCCAGUGACUACGGGUUCAA